rnacentral:rRNA from 1 species
GUGUCAGCCGCCGCGGUAAGACAGAGGGUGCAAACGUUGUUCGGAAUUACUGGGCGUAAAGCGCGUGUAGGCGGCUCGAAAAGUCGGAUGUGAAAGCCCUGGGCUCAACCUAGGAAGUGCAUUCGAAACUCUCGAGCUUGAGUUCUGGAGAGGAAGGCGGAAUUCCAGGUGUAGCGGUGAAAUGCGUAGAUAUCUGGAGGAACACCGGUGGCGAAGGCGGCGUCCUGGACCAACACUGACACUGAUGAGCGAAAGCCAGGGGAGCAAACGGGAUUAGAUACCCCGGUAGUCC